CAGUCGCCACGGUAAUACGGAGGGUGCAAGCGUUAAUCGGAAUUACUGGGCGUAAAGCGCACGCAGGCGGUUUGUUAAGUCAGAUGUGAAAUCCCCGAGCUUAACUUGGGAACUGCAUUUGAAACUGGCAAGCUAGAGUCUUGUAGAGGGGGGUAGAAUUCCAGGUGUAGCGGUGAAAUGCGUAGAGAUCUGGAGGAAUACCGGUGGCGAAGGCGGCCCCCUGGACAAAGACUGACGCUCAGGUGCGAAAGCGUGGGGAGCAAACAGGAUUAGAUACCCCAGUAGUCCCUGUCUCUUAUAC
rnacentral:rRNA from 1 species